UAGGGAAUCUUCCACAAUGGACGCAAGUCUGAUGGAGCAACGCCGCGUGAGUGAAGAAGGUUUUCGGAUCGUAAAGCCCUGUUGUUGGUGAAGAAGGAUAGAGGUAGUAACUGGCCUUUAUUUGACGGUAAUCAACCAGCAAGUCACGGCUAACUUCGUGCCAGCAGCCGCGGUAAUACGUAGGUGGCAAGCGUUGUCCGGAUUUAUUGGGCGUAAAGCGAGAGAAGGCGGAAGAAUAAGUCUGAUGUGAAAGCCCUCGGCUUAACCGAGGAAGUGCAUCGGAAAAUGUUUUUGUUGCGUGCAGAAGAGGAGAGUGGAAUUCCAUGUGUAGCGGUGGAAUGCGUAGAUAUAUGGAAGAACACCAGUGGCGAAGGCGACUCUCUGGUCUGCAACUGACGCUGAGGCUCGAAAGAAUGGGUAGCGAACAGG
rnacentral:rRNA from 1 species